rnacentral:rRNA from 1 species
UACGGAGGGGGCUAGCGUUGUUCGGAAUUACUGGGCGUAAAGCGCACGUAGGCGGCUUUGCAAGUUAGAGGUGAAAGCCCGGGGCCUCAACUCCGGUAAUUGCCUUUAAAACUGCAUCGCUAGAAUUGUGGAGAGGUAAGUGGAAUUCCGAGUGUAGAGGUGAAAUUCGAUUAGAUAUUCGGAAGAACACCAGUGGCGAAGGCGACUUACUGGACACAUAUUGACGCUGAGGUGCGAAAGCGUGGGGAGCAAACAGG